rnacentral:rRNA from 1 species
UACAGAGGGGGCAGGCGUUAUUCGGAAUUAUUGGGCGUAAAGGGCGCGUAGGCGGUAUGGCAAGUGGAUGGUGAAAUCCCUCGGCUUAACCGAGGAACUGCCGUCCAAACUGCUUCGCUUGAGACCGGGAGAGGUGAGUGGAAUUCCCAGUGUAGCGGUGAAAUGCGUAGAUAUUGGGAGGAACACCAGUGGCGAAGGCGGCUCACUGGACCGGUACUGACGCUGAUGCGCGAAAGCGUGGGGAGCAAACGGG